rnacentral:rRNA from 1 species
UACAGAGGUGGCAAGCGUUGUUCGGAAUUACUGGGCGUACAGGGAGCGUAGGCGGUUGGAUAAGCCCUCCGUGAAAUCUCCAGGCUUAACCUGGAAAGUGCAGAGGGGACUGUUCAGCUAGAGGAUGGGAGAGGAGCGCGGAAUUCCCGGUGUAGCGGUGAAAUGCGUAGAGAUCGGGAGGAAGGCCGGUGGCGAAGGCGGCGCUCUGGAACAUUUCUGACGCUGAGGCUCGAAAGCGUGGGGAGCAAACAGG